AGGGGGGCCGUUACACUGUAAGA
rnacentral:miRNA from 1 species